AGAACGAACGCUGGCGGCAUGCCUAAUACAUGCAAGUCGAACGAACUCUUCGGAGUUAGUGGCGCACGGGUGCGUAACGCGUGGGAAUCUGCCCCUUGGUUCGGAAUAACAGUUGGAAACGACUGCUAAUACCGGAUGAUGACGAGAGUCCAAAGAUUUAUCGCCAAGGGAUGAGCCCGCGUAGGAUUAGCUAGUUGGUGAGGUAAAGGCUCACCAAGGCAACGAUCCUUAGCUGGUCUGAGAGGAUGAUCAGCCACACUGGGACUGAGACACGGCCCAGACUCCUACGGGAGGCAGCAGUAGGGAAUAUUGGACAAUGGGCGAAAGCCUGAUCCAGCAAUGCCGCGUGAGUGAUGAAGGCCUUAGGGUUGUAAAGCUCUUUUACCCGAGAUGAUAAUGACAGUAUCGGGAAGAAUAAGCCCCGGCUAACCCCGUGCCAGCAGCCGC
rnacentral:rRNA from 1 species